rnacentral:rRNA from 1 species
AUGGUGGAGGGCAUUGGUCAGGACAUUGCCAACCUGAAGUUCCUCCUCAUGUGCUUCCAACAGAUGUCAGGACUCACAAUCAACUUCGAUAAGAGCGAAGUGAUGAUUCUUGGGUUUUCUCCGGCAGAGGCUUAGGAUAUAGCAGACCGACUGAAUUGUCGGUUGGGUUCUUUCCCCACGACCUACUUGGGGAUCCCCAUUAGUGACUCGCGCCUCACAGUAGAUGACCUUCGCCCCACGGUGACCCGGAUGCAGCACCGGGUUGAGCCCUGGAAAGGGCGGUGGCUGUCGAAGGCCGCCCGCGUGAUCCUCAUCAACUCCUCGCUUGCCAGCCUUCUUUGGUUCCUCAUGAGCUUCUAUAGCCUCCAUGAGACGCUUCAUCAGGAGAUCGCCAAGUACCAGUCCAGGUUCUUCUGGGCUGGUGAGGGUGAUAAGCAGAAGUACCAUAUGGUGAGCUGGCCCGACAUUUGCAAACCCAAGGACCAGGGAGGCCUUGGGAUUUUGUCCUCCCGACGCAUGAACAUUGCUCUCCUGACCCGAUGGCUCUGGCGCAUCGUCAAUGGAGAUGGCGGUCUUUGGCUC